CUACGACUACACCAUCGCCUUCUGCCUCCCUACCUCCGGGUACGCAUGCAGCUACGGAAGCCAAAUUUCCGAAAUUUACGACAGAAGAGAAAUUUCUGAAAUUUACCGAUAGAUCUAAGAGAAUUUUUCGAAAUUGCGGAAAUUCACCGAUAGAAAAUUCCGAUAGAAGUGAAAUUUCGGAGAUUGCGAAAAAAAAUCGGAUAGAAGCGAAAUUUCGGGAAAUUCUAGGACUGAAAAAAGUUAACACUUGGACAGGUUACCGAUAGAUCCAGGAGAAUUUUUCAAACUUGCGGAAAUACACCGAUAGAAGCGAAAUUUCGGGAAAUGUUUGGAUUGAAAAAAGUUAGCACUUGGACAGGUUUUGGUUCAGGGACUGGAAACUUACCGAUAGAAGUGAAAUUUCGGAAAUUGCGGACAUUUACCAAUGGAAGUGAAAUAUCGGAAAUUGCAUGAAUUUUGGGAACUGUGGAAAACCUACCGAUAGAAGUGGAAUUGCUGAGAUUUACCCAUUGAAGCGAAAUUUCGGAAAUUGCAGGGUUUUCUGAAAAUUUCGGACCAAAAAGGUUACAUUAGGGCAAAUUUUGGUUAAAUCUGAAUGAAAAUUGUCUUACCCAAACAAAAAUUUAGCCGAAAUAAUUUCUGGUCGAGGGGAUCGAAAUUCCUGAAAUUUUAAUAGCUGUGUGAUUCUUGCUGCAGGAUCAAU
rnacentral:lncRNA from 1 species